UACGUAGGGUGCGAGCGUUAAUCGGAAUUACUGGGCGUAAAGCGUGGGCAGGCGGUUUUGUAAGCCAGAUGUGAAAUCCCCGGGCUUAACCUGGGAACUGCAUUUGUGACUGCACGGCUAGAGUGUGUCAGAGGGGGGUAGAAUUCCACGUGUAGCAGUGAAAUGCGUAGAUAUGUGGAGGAAUACCGAUGGCGAAGGCAGCCCCCUGGGAUAACACUGACGCUCAUGCACGAAAGCGUGGGGAGCAAACAGG
rnacentral:rRNA from 1 species